ACGAUUUCGGGUAUGAACGUCAGAUUCUAUGUACGUCAGAUUCCAUCGACGUCAUUUUCCAACAAGGUCAGAUUUUCAGUUGGUACAGGCAGUUCCAUAAUUAAUGUUAAAGACAUAAAAAUAACCCACUAUUUAUAUAAAAAAACGAGAAAAUAUU